GGAUGAACGCUGGCGGCGUGCUUAACACAUGCAAGUCGAGCGAAGCAUUAAAACAGAUUUCUUCGGAUUGAAGUUCUAAUGACUGAGCGGCGGACGGGUGAGUAACGCGUGGGUGACCUGCCUCAUACAGGGGGAUAACAGACAGAAAUGUCUGCUAAUACCGCAUAAGCGCACAGUGCUGCAUGGUACAGUGUGAAAAACUCCGGUGGUAUGAGAUGGACCCGCGUCUGAUUAGCUAGUUGGUAAGGUAACGGCUUACCAAGGCGACGAUCAGUAGCCGGCCUGAGAGGGUGAACGGCCACAUUGGGACUGAGACACGGCCCAAACUCCUACGGGAGGCAGCAGUGGGGAAUAUUGCACAAUGGGGGAAACCCUGAUGCAGCGACGCCGCGUGAAGGAAGAAGUAUUUCGGUAUGUAAACUUCUAUCAGCAGGGAAGAAAAUGACGAUACCUGACUAAGAAGCCCCGGCUAACUACGUGCCAGCAGCCGCGGUAAUACGUA
rnacentral:rRNA from 1 species